GAUGAACGCUAGCGGCAGGCCUAAUACAUGCAAGUCGAACGAUAGAUAAGGGCUUGCUCUUAUCGAAAGUGGCGCACGGGUGCGUAACGCGUAUGCAACCUACCUUAAUCAGGGGGAUAGCCCGGAGAAAUCCGGAUUAAUACCGCAUAAAAUCACAGGAUUGCAUAAUCCAAUGAUCAAACAUUUAUGGGAUUGAGAUG
rnacentral:rRNA from 1 species